rnacentral:rRNA from 1 species
UACAGAGGGUGCAAGCGUUGUUCGGAAUUACUGGGCGUAAAGCGCGUGUAGGUGGCGAUGUAAGUCGGGUGUGAAAUCCCUUGGCUCAACCAAGGAAGUGCACUCGAUACUGUGUCGCUUGAGUACCGGAGGGGAUGGCGGAAUUCCUGGUGUAGAGGUGAAAUUCGUAGAUAUCGGGAGGAACACCUGUGGCGAAGGCGGCCAUCUGGACGGUCACUGACACUGAGACGCGAAAGCGUGGGUAGCAAACAGG